CCUACGGGAGGCUGCAGUGGGGAAUAUUGCACAAUGGGGGAAACCCUGAUGCAGCGACGCCGCGUGAGUGAAGAAGUAAUUCGUUACGUAAAGCUCUAUCAGCAGGGAAGAAACACUUACCUUACGGUCAGCAAACGGUACCUGAGUAAGAAGCCCCAGCUAACUCCGUCCCAGCAGCCACCGUAAUGCGUAGGGGGCAGCCGUUAUCCGGCUUUACUGGGUGUAAAGGGAGCGUAGACGGUGCGCCAAGUCUGGAGCUAAAUGCCGCAGCUUAACGGCGGAACUGCUGUGGAAACUGGCGAACUAGAGUGCGGGAGGGGUAAGCGGAAUUCCUAGUGUAGCGGUGAAAUGCGUAGAUAUUAGGAGGAACACCGGUGGCGAAGGCGGCUUACUGGACCGUAACUGACGUUGAGGCUCGAAAGCGUGGGGAGCAAACAGGAUUAGAUACCCGGGUAGUC
rnacentral:rRNA from 1 species